rnacentral:tRNA from 1 species
GAGGGUAUAGUUCAUUGGCAGAACACAUGCUUAGCAUGCACAAGGUCCUGGGUCCAAUCCCCAGUACCCCCA